rnacentral:rRNA from 1 species
CUACGGGCUGCUGCAGUAGGGAAUUUUCGGCAAUGGGGGAAACCCUGACCGAGCAACGCCGCGUGAAUGACGAAGUACUUCGGUAUGUAAAGUUCUUUUAUCAGGGAAGAAUGACUUAUGGAAAAAUAAGUGUGACGGUACCUGAUGAAUAAGCCCCGGCUAACUAUGUGCCAGCAGCCGCGGUAAUACAUAGGGGGCAAGCGUUAUCCGGAAUUAUUGGGCGUAAAGGGUGCGUAGGUGGUUAGAUAAGUCUUAGGUGUAAGUGCAGAGCUUAACUCUGUGAUGCUAGAGAAACUGUCUGACUUGAGUGUGGUAGAGGCAAGUGGAAUUCCAUGUGUAGCGGUAAAAUGCGUAAAUAUAUGGAGGAACACCAGUGGCGAAGGCGGCUUGCUGGGCCAUAACUGACACUGAGGCACGAAAGCGUGGGGAGCAAACAGGAUUAGAUACCCGGGUAGUC